rnacentral:misc_RNA from 1 species
UAUAUGUUGUUCACCUUUCUCAUAAAUUUCCUCUUCUCUCGUGUGCCUUAUCAUUUGAACAAUUACAAUCAUCACAGCUAUGUGAAAGUCAUUAACUGGCUUCCUAUAUUUGUAGACUGAAUGUUUGAUGUUUAAUAUUGGUACUUAAUUGAUUAGUGUAAGGUUGUAUCUAAUGGUAAUAAUGUCAUUAGUGCAUCCCUUGUGUUUGAUGUUGAUAUUAUAUUAACCACGUAGUUUUGUUGUAUUUUUUUUUAUGUUAAGGAACUUGUUGCUGUUGGUGGAAA